rnacentral:lncRNA from 1 species
UAAAAUGUUUUUAAAUGAUGACACCAGGGAACAGAAAUAAAAGUAUCAUAAAAGUAUCAUGAACUAGAUACAAACAAAACCUAAUCAACGAUUACGAAUUUCUAAUACAAGCUAUGAAUCAUAUUAGGUUCAGAUCCGAGACAAAUUCCAAAACAAUUAACCGAUACAAACCCUAACACAUCAAUUUCUAACAGAUCUACGAUCUUGAAAAACGAAAGAAAAGAACGGAAAAUCGAAUCAAAAACCAGAAAAGAAAGGGAAAAUACCUUGAGGAAUGGUUAGGUCGAGAAGAAACGAAUUGAGAAAUUGGGAAUUGAGAAACGAAUUGAAAUUGUUCGAUGAGAAUGGAACUGUGAAUUGAUAAUGGUGCAAUGGUGUCGUUUUAUGUUUCUAUGUGGUCGAGAAGAUUUAGGUUUUUAUGUUUCUAUGUGUUUUGCUGCGCGCAUGUUAAGGGAGUUUUUUUUUUUNN